rnacentral:rRNA from 1 species
AGACUUUGAUCCUGGCUCAGAUUGAACGCUAGCGGGAUGCCUUACACAUGCAAGUCGAACGGCAGCGCGAGGAAAGCUUGCUUUCCUUGGCGGCGAGUGGCGAACGGGUGAGUAAUGUAUCGGAACGUGCCCAGUAGCGGGGGAUAACCACUCGAAAGAGUGGCUAAUACCGCAUACGCCCUUCGGGGGAAAGGGGGGGAUUCUUUCGGGAACCUCUCACUAUUGGAGCGGCCGAUAUCGGAUUAGCUAGUUGGUGGGGUAAAGGCUCACCAAGGCCACGAUCCGUAGCUGGUUUGAGAAGACGGCCAGCCACACUGGGACUGAGACACGGCCCCAGACUCCUACGGGAGGCAGCAGUGGGGAAUUUUGGACAAUGGGGGGAACCCUGAUCCA